CACUGAGCCACAACGGGUUCUCCCCAGGCAUCUGCUUUUAAGGAGGGGACUUCUCUGUGUUGUGGCAACUCUCCAGGGUGUGCCUCAAUGGCAGUUAAAUUCCUAGUCACAGAGUUCCCGUUGUGGCGCAGCAGAAACCAAUCUGACUAGCAUCCAUGAAGACACAGGUUCCAUCCCUGGCCUUGCUCCCUGGGUUAAGGAUCUGGCGUUGCUGUGAGCUGUGGGGUAGGUCACAGAUGUAGCUUGGAUCUGGUGUUGCUAUGGCUGUAGUGUAGGCCGGCGGCUACGGCUCCAAUUCAACCCAUCCCUGGCCUGGGAACCUCCAUAUGCUGCAGGUGCAGCCCUAAAAAAAAGAAAAAACAAUUCUCACCAGAAAGUCUUCCCUCUAAAGUAGACAAGGAGUUACCUGGUGGCUCAGUGGGUUAAGGAUCCGACGUUGUCACUGCGACGGCUCCCACGACCCUGACUGUGGCCCCCACCUCGGAACAGGAGCCACAGGAGGAGACGGAAAGUUUCGUGUAUGUCCCCUCAUAGUUGAAACAGCGCACGAGCAGUGAGCAGGGCAUAGGGAGUUGGGGCUCACCUAGAAAGUUCACGCCCUUCAUGAAUCGACAGACUCUUCAGCAGACAGCAGGAUGGGCUGCGCCAGGACACAGAUGACCGCUGGAUGUGCGAAAAAAGGGUCAGCACGUGAGCCACCAGGUCAUUCCAGCUUCGGCCGUGGGGCCCCGCUCAGACGCGCGCCUGUCUCCUGGUGAAAUCCUGGAGGCUGUCCUUUCCACCGUCCUGUCUGCACGAGGAGGACACGGGGGUCAGCUUCCUGGGAGAAGGGAGUCGUCCGGAUGGCUGGUCCCCGGAGGGGUGACUUACUGCAUGAACAUCGAAAUCAGAUGAACCCUGACGGCGACAGCGAUGGUAAUAGCGCCACUGGCGGGGUGUAUGGGGGGGUAGCGGGCAAAGCCCGUGGGGCAAAUGUCUUUCUUAAACCCUCCUCAUAAAUCUAAGAUCUCACUGUCACCCACGAGGGGACGGAGCCCGGGGCCUCGGGACCUGAGCUGGUUCUCUGGGUGAGAGGAGGAGGAGGCUUCCUGGGGGGCCGUGUGCCUUUGGCCCGCGUCCUUCACGGUGGCUCUGUCCUCCGGGGGCAGCUGAUCGAACGGGCCUUUCUGUGUGGACAUCACUUGUUCCCAGUGGAGCCCUGGGGGCUAAAAAUAACCAUGUGUUUUCUGUUUUAUCCAAAAAAGAGGAACUGUGCAGUGUGUUUCAUAACAUCUACUAUUUUUGAAAACCUGAAUUUUUUCCACUUUUUUUUAAAUGCCUUUGGGGCUGUCCUUGGAGGGAGAGGCUUUGGUGGAGGUUUCACCAGGGGUCCCUCUGUUUGGUCGUCCAGAUCCUCAGGAAAUGGCUGCAGGAGAAGGGAACUGUCCCCCCGCACACAUGGCCAAGGGGUGGACUUAACACAGGGGUCAUGGGAGGGGAGCCAGAUCUCAGGGGCACCUGAGACCUCAUAGCACAGGCUGGAGGGGAGAAGGGACCGGCCCAGGGGCUGGGCAGGCCUGUUCCGUGUACAGGGGGAGGCGUGCUGACCCCGGCCACAUGCUGCCUCCACGACAGCCAGGCCUCGUGGUCCAGGCUCAGCGUCCAUCUUUCCCCUGACCCCGCUCUCCCAGGUUGGGGCAAGGCCUGAUGCUCCUAAGAUGAGCCACGAGCCAUGAGCCCCCGGGUCCCGGUUGUUCUUGGGUUCCUCUGUUGUUGGCAACCAGGCUAAGAUGGUCAUCCUGGGGUCUGCUGAUGCUAGGGUGGCUCCCUGCCCUUCUCACUGAGACUCUGGAGCGUUAGGAAAUCAUGGAAAGAGCAAACACAGUGAAAGACACGUCGCCCGCAGCCCAGGAAGCUGGAAUGUGGGUGUGGCAUCCCUGAGACCACGCGGGUGUUUCUGGGUGAGCCAAGGGCAGAGGGACCAGGCGGGUGUGGGAGUGGCUGGACGCCAAGAGGACCUGCCCACUGCUGCAACCCAAGGGUAGAGUGGGCCCUUCACACGUGACGUGGCUGCCAGCAUCUGCAGAGGUGAGCAGAGGCAUGGGGCGGAGCAGGAGGUGUUAGAAUGUGUGGCAAGAGCACGAUUCCUCUAGAGUCGGCAGUAAUUUGGAGACUGGAACAGGGACAGACUGACACCUGAUCUCAGUAGACAAGCCAGGAGCAGACCCUUACGGGAAGGCUGAGGCUGUGUCACCAAGCUUAUAGAAACCGUGAGGGAGGGAGGGCAGCUGUGCCUGGAGAGCAGAUUAAUUCUGGGCUGCAGGACUCUGGAUAAGUUAAAGAAAAAGUGCAUCUGCAUCUUUCUAAACCAACUGUGGGGAGUUCCCAUUGUGGCACAGCCAAGACAAAUCCGACUAGGAACCAUGAGGUUUCGGGUUCGAUCCUUGGCCUCGCUCUGUGGGUUAAGGAUCUGACAUUGCCGUGAGCUGUGGUGUAGGUCGCAGACACGGCUCGGAUCCUGCGUGGCUGUGGCUGUGGCGAAGGCUGGUGGCUACAGCUUGGAUUGGACCCCUAGCCUGUGAACCUCCAUGUGC
rnacentral:lncRNA from 1 species